AUGGACGAUGCCGGCGAGAUGCACGCGUUUGGGCGCAGCCUGCGGGGGGAGAGCUCGGUUUGGUCGCGCGGCAGCGGCGACCUGUUCCCGCGGUCGUCGCCGGACUAUGACGAGGAGGAGGCACUGCGAUGGGCGGCGCUGGAGAAGCUGCCCACCUACGACCGCGCCCGGACGGCGGUGCUGGCCAUGCCGGGGGAGGGGCUUAAGGAGGUGAACGUGGAGAAGCUGAGCGCCCAGGAGAAGCACGCGCUGCUGCAGCUCGUCGCGUGGGUCGGCGACGACCACGAGCGCUUCCUCUCCAAGUUCAAGGACCGCCUCGACCGAGUUGGGAUUCAGCUGCCGACGAUCGAGGUGAGAUACGAGAACCUCAACGUGGAGGCACAGGCGCACGUUGGGAGCAGGGGCCUGCCCACCAUCCUCAACACCUAUGCCAAUCUACUGGAGGGCCUGGCAAAUGCUCUUCACCUAACACCAAACAGGAAGCAGAAGAUACCAAUCCUUCACAAUGUCAGUGGAAUCAUCAAGCCCCACAGGAUGACCUUGCUUUUGGGACCCCCUGGCGCCGGAAAGACCUCACUGCUUUUGGCCUUGGCCGGAACUCUGCCUUCAAGUCUUAAGAUGUCUGGGGACUUAACUUACAAUGGGCAUACUAUGGAUGAGUUUGUGCCACGGAGAUCUGCAGCUUAUGUCAGCCAACAUGAUCUGCACAUGGCCGAACUGACUGUCCGUGAGACAGUCAACUUCUCGGCAAAAUGUCAAGGAAUUGGUCACCGUUUUGACCUGCUAAUGGAGCUAUCCCGGAGAGAAAAGGAACAACACAUCAAACCAGACCCAGAAAUAGAUAUCUACAUGAAGGCUGCUGCAACAGGAGAUCAAAAAGCCGAGGUGGUCAUAAAUCACAUACUAAAGGUCUUAGGGUUGGAUAUCUGUGCUGAUAUAAUGAUAGGAAACAAUAUGUUGCGAGGCAUAUCAGGAGGGCAAAAAAAGAGAGUAACUACAGAUGAGAUGCUCGUCACACCCGGACGAGCCCUUUUCAUGGACGAGAUAUCAACUGGACUUGAUAGCUCGACAACCUUCCAGAUUGUGAACUCCAUCCGACAAACAAUCCACAUUAUUGGUGGAACGGCAGUCAUUGCCUUGCUACAACCUGCACCAGAGACAUAUGAAUUAUUUGAUGAUAUAAUUCUCCUUUCAGAUGGUCAUGUUGUCUAUAAUGGCCCUCGACAAUAUGUUCUCGAGUUCUUUGAAAUAAUGGGAUUCAAAUGUCCCAAGCGAAAAGGCGUAGCUGACUUCCUGCAAGAAGUUACAUCAAUAAAAGAUCAAGGACAAUACUGGAUAAACAAUGAUGAGACAUACAGAUUUGUUCCGGUCAAGGAGUUUGCGGAGGCAUUUCAAUCUUUCCAUGUUGGUCAAGCUAUAAGGAGUGAGUUAUUUGUGCCAUUUGACAAGGACAAAAGUCAUCCCGCAGCUCUGAAAAAAUCACAAUACGGUGCCAGCAUGAAGGAACUACUCAAAGCUAAUAUCAACAGAGAUAUAUUGCUCAUGAAGAGGAAUUCCUUUUUGUAUAUAUUCAAGGCAACCCAGUUGACACUCUUGGCGAUCAUUGCAAUGACCGUAUUUCUGCGCAUCAAUAUGCAUCGUGACUCGGUAACAGAUGGAGGGAUAUACAUGGGUGCUAUCUUCUUUGGGAUCUUGAUGAUAAUGUUCAAUGGGUUUGCAGAAGUAGGUCUAACUACUAUAAAGCUCCCGGUUUUUUUCAAGCAACGAGAUCUUCUCUUCUUUCUAGCAUGGAUAUACUCGUUGACUUCAUGGAUCAUUAAGACCCCCCUAUCCUUGCUCAAUGCAACAAUUUGGGUUGGGAUAACAUACUAUGGUAUCGGAUUUGAUCCCAACAUACAAAGAUUUUUUAGACAGCUCCUACUGCUCUUCUUAGUGAACGAGGCAUUUUCUGGACUCUUCCGCUUCGUUGCUGGCCUUGCAAGGCAUCAUGUUAUUGCAAACACCAUCGCUUCCUUCUGCAUGUUAAAUUUUAUGCUCACUGGUGGAUUCGUCAUGGCAAGAGACAAUGUGAAGAAUUUGUGGAUAUGGGGAUACUGGAUAUCACCCCUGAUGUAUGCACAAAAUGCCCUAUCGGUGAAUGAGUUCCUAGGUCAUAGCUGGAACAAGACAACCCCCAGUUUCAAAAGACCACUUGGAAGACUAGUUCUGGAAUCUCGAGGGAUUUUUCCUAAUACAAAGUGUACUGGAUUGGUGUUGGUGCCUUGCUCGGAUAUGUGCUACUAUUUAAUAUCCUAUACAGUGUUUGCCUCACAUUCCUCAAUCCAUUUGACAACAACCAGCCAACAGUAUCUGAAGAAACAUUGA
rnacentral:rRNA from 1 species